ACCUGGGUGGCUCAGUCGGUUGAGCGUCUGACUUUGGCUCGGGUCAUGAUCUCACAGUUCAUGGGUUCGAGCCCCAUAUUGGGCU
rnacentral:tRNA from 1 species